UUGAACUAAGAGUAUAAGGGUAGAGCUUUAUAUUCAAUAAUUAAUUAAAGAUGAUUAAAUAUAAAUUGUUUAUAAAUUAGGCUUUAUAGUGGCCAUAUUUUUAAAGUAUUUUAACUAUUAAAAUAAAAAAUUUUUUAUUAUUAUUCUCUUAAAAUAACUAGUAGAAUAAAUUUUAUAUUAAAAAUAGAUUAGGAAUAAUGAAAAUAUUAGUAGAAAUAUAAAUAUUAAAAUUUUAAAAUAAUAGAUUUAAUAAAUAUUUUUUAAUAACAAAAUAAAGGAAAAUUAAAGGAAUUCGGCAAAUUUUUUUCUUGCCUGUUUAACAAAAACAU
rnacentral:rRNA from 1 species